UACAGACGCCAUCAGCAAUACAAGUGUUUUAAGAUCUCUUCAAUAAAUAAUCGUUUAAUAUUAAAUGUGGCGUCGUAAUAUUUCCACAUAUAUAUGUAUAUGCAAAAGUGGAAUGGAAACCAAAAAAUACCCAAGAAAUACAUUAAAAUAUCAAAACUGAUUUCUUCCCACUGCCUUGAGUCCACGACAUAGACUGCGUUCAGAUGCCGAAUCUUCUUGUCGCUUAUUAUCUCUAAAUUAUCUUUUGGCGUAGCUCAUUGCGUUCACACUAGCACAGAUUUUCGACUUCUUUCAUAUCGCAUUCUCAAAUUCUUAUACGCUUUUAGAACUCUAUUAUAUUAUGGAUAUUUACAUAAAUAUUUGUUUAUUACAUACAAAAGAUAGAUUAAAAAUUAAAUUUUCUGACCAUUCA